CCUACGGGUGGCAGCAGUGAGGAAUAUUGGUCAAUGGGCGCGAGCCUGAACCAGCCAAGUCGCGUGAGGGAGGACGGCCCUACGGGUUGUACACCUCUUUUGCCGGGGAGCAACGGGCGUCACGUGUGGCGCCACUGAGAGUACCCGGAGAAAAAGCAUCGGCUAACCCCGUGCCAGCAGCCGCGGUAAUACGGGGGAUGCGAGCGUUAUCCGGAUUUAUUGGGUUUAAAGGGUGCGUAGGCGGAUCGGUAAGUCAGUGGUAAAAUUGGGGGUCGCAACCCCUUCCCGCCAUUGAAACUGGCGUUCUUGAGUGGAAGAGAAGUAUGCGGAAUGCGUGGUGUAGCGGUGAAAUGCAUAGAUAUCAUGCAGAACCCCGAUUGCGAAGGCAGCAUGCCGGCUUCCGACUGACGCUGAAGCACGAAAGCGUGGGGAUCGAACAGGAUUAGAUACCCGGGUAGUC
rnacentral:rRNA from 1 species